UACAGAGGGGGCAAGCGUUAUUCGGAAUUAUUGGGCGUAAAGGGCGCGUAGGUGGUUCUGUAUGUCUACCGUGAAAGCGUACGGCUCAACCGUAUUUUGUCGGUGGAAACUGCAGGACUUGAGGCUGGGAGGGGCUGGUGGAAUUCCCUGUGUAGCGGUGAAAUGCGUAGAUAUCUGGAGGAAUACCGGUGGCGAAGGCGGCAUCCUGGACCGACAUUGACGCUGAUGAGCGAAAGCUAGGGGAGCAAACGGGG
rnacentral:rRNA from 1 species